CGGAGGAUCCAAGCGUUAUCCGGAUUCAUUGGGUUUAAAGGGUGCGUAGGCGGAAUGAUAAGGUCAGUGGUGAAAGCCUGCAGCUUAACUGCAGAACUGCCAUUGAUACUGUCAAUCUUGAGUACAUUUGAUGUGGGCGGAAUGUGUCAUGUAGCGGUGAAAUGCUUAGAUAUGACACAGAACACCGAUUGCGAAGGCAGCUCACAAAACUGUAACUGACGCUGAGGCACGAAAGCGUGGGUAUCAAACAGGAUUAGAUACCCUGGUAGUCCACGCUGUAAACUAUGAUUACUCGAUGUUUGCGAUAUACUGUAAGCGUCUAAGCGAAAGCGAUAAGUAAUCCACCUGGGGAGUACGCUCGCAAGAGUG
rnacentral:rRNA from 1 species